CAUGAGAGGCCCGUCCUGGGCCCCGUUCCAAACCAGGGCAUUCCCAGUUCAGGCCACUCCCUCACCCCUAUACAAUGCUUGUCCCCCGCCACAGCCAGUAAUGCUGCAGUAGACUGUGUUGCACCAGGGCUGUGAGUGUGCCUGGAGAGCCGCCACAGAAAGUAGAAACAGGAGCCUGCGGACCCCUGCCAGAAGGAACGUCUGCAGAUGCAAAUCCCAACUCCUGGGUAAAGUAGCUCACCAUUAUAAAGCUGCCUUGGUUUUUAUUGCCGUGCAAAAACAAAAAGGGGGACAUGCAAGGAACAGUCCUCAAGACUGGUCAUAAACAAGAUCUCCACAGCACUGUGACAUGCUCAUGAUGGCUAUGAUGCUCACGCUGGAGGUUGCUGGUUUACCGGAAUGAGGACAAGGAACACCUGGCCCACCCAGGGUGGAAAACCACUCAAGGUGUUCCUAAACCACAAACAAUGGCAUGAGCGAUCUAUGCCUUAAGGACAUGUUCCUGCUGCAGAUAAAAAGCCAGACCCUGUCCCUUUGUUCUUCUGAAGAAUACUUUUAGUUAAUCUAUAAACUGCAGAAACGAUGUUUAUCAUGGGCUUACUGUCAAUAAAUAGGUGGGUCAAACUCUGUUUGAGGCUCUCAGCUCUGAAGGCUGUUAGCCCCCCAAUACCACUUUGCACUCUA
rnacentral:lncRNA from 1 species